UACGAAGGGGGCUAGCGUUGCUCGGAAUCACUGGGCGUAAAGGGCGCGUAGGCGGACUUUUAAGUCGGGGGUGAAAGCCCAGGGCUCAACCCUGGAAUUGCCUUCGAUACUGGGAGUCUUGAGUUCGGAAGAGGUUGGCGGAACUGCGAGUGUAGAGGUGAAAUUCGUAGAUAUUCGCAAGAACACCAGUGGCGAAGGCGGCCAACUGGUCCGAAACUGACGCUGAGGCGCGAAAGCGUGGGGAGCAAACAGG
rnacentral:rRNA from 1 species